rnacentral:rRNA from 1 species
UACGGAGGCCCCAAGCGUUGUUCGGAUUUAUUGGGCGUAAAGGGUGCGUAGGCGGCGUGGUAAGUCUGGUGUGAAAGGCCGUGGGCUCAACCCGCGGACUGCAUUGGAUACUGCCAUGCUAGAGGACUGGAGAGGAGAAUGGAAUUCCUGGUGUAGCGGUGAAAUGCGCAGAUAUCAGGAGGAACACCAAUGGCGAAGGCAGCUCGCUGGGGACGGUACUGACGCUGAGACGCGAAAGCGUGGGGAGCAAACAGG